rnacentral:rRNA from 1 species
AACGAACGCUGGCGGCAUGCCUAACACAUGCAAGUCGAACGAGACCUUCGGGCCUAGUGGCGCACGGGUGCGUAACGCGUGGGAACCUGCCCUUAGGUUCGGAAUAACUCCCCGAAAGGGGUGCUAAUACCGGAUAAUGUCUUCGGACCAAAGAUUUAUCGCCUUUGGAUGGGCCCGCGUUGGAUUAGCUAGUUGGUAGGGUAAAAGCCUACCAAGGCGACGAUCCAUAGCUGGUCUGAGAGGAUGAUCAGCCACACUGGGACUGAGACACGGCCCAGACCCCUACGGGAGGCAGCAGUGGGGAAUAUUGGACAAUGGGCGAAAGCCUGAUCCAGCAAUGCCGCGUGAGUGAUGAAGGCCUUAGGGUUGUAAAGCUCUUUUACCCGGGAUGAUAAUGACAGUACCGGGAGAAUAAGCGCCGGCUAACUCCGUG